GACGAACGCUGGCGGCGUGCUUAACACAUGCAAGUCGAGCGGUAAGGCCCUUUCGGGGGUACACGAGCGGCGAACGGGUGAGUAACACGUGGGUGACCUGCCCUCAGCUCUGGGAUAAGCCUGGGAAACCGGGUCUAAUACUGGAUAUGACUCCAUGACGCAUGUUGUGGGGUGGAAAGCCUUGUGCGGCUGAGGAUGGGCCCGCGGCCUAUCAGCUUGUUGGUGGGGGAUGGCCUACCAAGGCGACGACGGGUAGCCGGCCUGAGAGGGCGACCGGCCAUACUGGGACUGAGACACGGCCCAGACUCCUACGGGAGGCAGCAGUGGGGAAUCUUGCGCAAUGGGCGAAAGCCUGACGCAGCGACGCCGCGUGAGGGAUGACGG
rnacentral:rRNA from 1 species